UAGUGGCGAACGGGUGAGUAACACGUGGGCAAUCUGCCCUGCACUCUGGGACAAGCCCUGGAAACGGGGUCUAAUACCGGAUACGAGUUUCACAGGCAUCUGUGAUUCUGGAAAGCUCCGGCGGUGCAGGAUGAGCCCGCGGCCUAUCAGCUUGUUGGUGAGGUAACGGCUCACCAAGGCGACGACGGGUAGCCGGCCUGAGAGGGCGACCGGCCACACUGGGACUGAGACACGGCCCAGACUCCUACGGGAGGCAGCAGUGGGGAAUAUUGCACAAUGGGCGAAAGCCUGAUGCAGCGACGCCGCGUGAGGGAUGACGGCCUUCGGGUUGUAAACCUCUUUCAGCAGGGAAGAAGCGAGAGUGACGGUACCUGCAGAAGAAGCGCCGGCUAACUACGUGCCAGCAGCCGCGGUAAUACGUAGGGCGCAAGCGUUGUCCGGAAUUAUUGGGCGUAAAGAGCUCGUAGGCGGCUUGUCGCGUCGGUUGUGAAAGCCCGGGGCUUAACCCCGGGUCUGCAGUCGAUACGGGCAGGCUAGAGUUCGGUAGGGGAGAUCGGAAUUCCU
rnacentral:rRNA from 21 species